rnacentral:rRNA from 1 species
CCUACGGGUGGCAGCAGUGGGGAAUAUUGGACAAUGGGGGCAACCCUGAUCCAGCCAUGCCGCGUGUGUGAAGAAGGCCCUCGGGUUGUAAAGCACUUUCAGUGAGGAAGAACGCCUGGUGGUUAAUACCCAUCAGGAAAGACAUCACUCACAGAAGAAGCACCGGCUAACUCCGUGCCAGCAGCCGCGGUAAUACGGAGGGUGCGAGCGUUAAUCGGAAUUACUGGGCGUAAAGCGCGCGUAGGUGGCUUGAUAAGCCGGUUGUGAAAGCCCCGGGCUCAACCUGGGAACGGCAUCCGGAACUGUCAAGCUAGAGUGCAGGAGAGGAAUGUAGAAUUCCCGGUGUAGCGGUGAAAUGCGUAGAGAUCGGGAGGAAUACCAGUGGCGAAGGCGGCCUUCUGGACUGACACUGACACUGAGGUGCGAAAGCGUGGGUAGCAAACAGGAUUAGAUACCCCUGUAGUC